rfam:Thermomonospora curvata DSM 43183, complete genome.
GGGGGUGACUGGCUUCGACUUCGGUAGAUCGAGCCAGGGGAAGCGGGCCGAGGGCUGCGGUUGCAACCUCGUUAAUCCUGUGACCGCGAAAAAUAACUGCCAACAAGAAGCAGUCCGAGUUCGCUCUCGCCGCCUGAGCGAGUAGCGACUCUGUCAGCCCGGGAGUGUCUCCGGCCCGGUGUCUGGCAUCGUGAGGAGACUCAGCCCGUUCGCCCGGUCGCGGGGCGAGCGGGGACACCGCACAGCGACUGAGCCCGUCGGUGACUUGCCUGCGUGAGCACCGGGGCUGAGAAAACGCUGAGCAGGCUGCGCCCGGAGAAGCCCUGACUCAUCACUGAAGGACGCGGGUUCGAUUCCCGCCACCUCCACGC